GGAUGAGCCGACGAGGACGUCGGCGAGAGUCGAGGCCGCGCCAGGGAGUGGCGCGUCCUGGCGGUCCGGCAGAAAUCCUGAA
rnacentral:sRNA from 1 species